rnacentral:misc_RNA from 1 species
GGUCUUUCGUCUUGGAUUCAACGGCAGUUCGGCUUCGGCGACAGAAGCGGUGACAUCGGGAGCGACAUCAGUAGCAAAGCAGGUUCCUUAGAGCGACGAUGGAGAGAGAGAGAACGAUGCCCAUUGCGCGAUGCAAGCAAAUCAGGACAUCAACGAGUCCCUCCAGAGAUCCACUCCUCUCCAUCCUGUUCCGGUAGAGAUGGAUCUGCAACACAUGAGACGUACAACUCCUUUUUUUGCGGAGGUAUGUUUCAUUUAAUUUAUUCCAUUCGAGAGUCCCUAGUAGAAUCCA